GGUGAAGAACGUAGUGAAAUGCGAUAAGUAAUGUGAAUUGCAGAAUUCAGUGAAUCAUCGAAUCUUUGAACGCACAUUGCGCCCGUCAGUAUUCUGGCGGGCAUGCCUGUUCGAGCGUCAUUACGCCCCUCAAGUCCCCUGUGGACUUGGUGUUGGGGAUCGGCGAGGCUGGUUUUCCAGCACAGCCGUCCCUUAAAUUAAUUGGCGGUCUCGCCGUGGCCCUCCUCUGCGCAGUAGUAAAACACUCGCAACAGGAGCCCGGCGCGGUCCACUGCCGUAAAACCCCCCAACUUUUUAUAGUUGACCUCGAAUCAGGUAGGACUACCCGCUGAACUUAAGCAUAUCAAUAAGCGGAGGA
rnacentral:misc_RNA from 1 species